rnacentral:rRNA from 1 species
UCCGUUAGUGAACCUGCGGAAGGAUCAUUA